CUACGUGCCAGCAGCCGCGGUAAUACGUAUGUCGCGAGCGUUAUCCGGAAUUAUUGGGCAUAAAGGGCAUCUAGGCGGCCUGACAAGUCAGGGGUGAAAACCUGCGGCUCAACCGCAGGCCUGCCUUUGAAACUGUGAGGCUGGAGUACCGGAGAGGUGGACGGAACUGCACGAGUAGAGGUGAAAUUCGUAGAUAUGUGCAGGAAUGCCGAUGAUGAAGAUAGUUCACUGGACGGUAACUGACGCUGAAGUGCGAAAGCCGGGGGAGCAAACAGGAUUAGAUACCCUGGUAGUCCCGGCUGUAAACGAUGAUUACUGGGUGUGGGCAGGAAGACUGUCUAUGCCGAAGCGAAUGCGAUAAGUAAUCCGCCUGGGGAGUACGGCCGCAAGGCUGAAACUCAAAGGAAUUGACGGGGACCCGCACAAGCGGUGGAGCAUGUGGUUUAAUUCGACGCAACGCGAGGAACCUUACCAGAUCUUGACAUCCCG
rnacentral:rRNA from 1 species